GUUACAAACGUCACAUCUUUGAUAUUUUAUUUUUAAAGAAUUAUUUUACCAUAUUUCCUUUAAUAUUUCAUUAAUAAUUAUCUUCUUCUAAUUGGUUUACCCAUUUUCCCCUUUAAAAAUCGGUUGGCGCUCUCUUUUAUUACCUUCUUUUAUAAUCUUCUAUUUAAUAUAUCUCUUUCAUUUAAAUCAUCAUACUGAACAUACCUCGUAUAUUCAUACUCUCCAAAUAUCUGUAUUUUCAAUACGGAACAUGCCGCUACUUCAUAGUACUUGGUUGUCAUUUUAAACGUCGUUUUCAAUGACAGUGUCACUUCAUCGAUUUGACCCCCUACUCCCUGACAUACACUGGAAGGGAAAAAUUAAUCCUUAAAAAGGCAUGUAAUUCGAAAAAUAAAUCAUUUUAUUUCAACAAAUCAUCUUCCUCUUGGGUUUUUUGGAAAGAGAUCAACCUUUCCCUCUUCGGGAACUUAAGCCUCACAUCACCGGUGAUGCACACUUGAAGGCAAAGACAAUGACAUCCAGACUGCACAACCACCACCUCUAGCUGCAGGGGCCUUGCGCCGAAGAUCCGCCCAGGCCUACGAGAAGUCUACAACAGCAGAACCAUACGACAUCAAGAAGAUACCAUCAGCUACCAAAAGCCAUAAGUAUAAUCCAGAAUUGUUAGUUUUUGGCAAGAAUUUGAAUACAUUUGUUAAUGCAAUUUACUAAGUCAUUUUAUUUAUUAUAUCUUUAUGAACAAUAAACAUGAUUAGUUAAAAACUA
rnacentral:lncRNA from 1 species